rnacentral:lncRNA from 1 species
UUUAGUAAAGCAUGUUCUGUCAUAUUUUUUCUCAGCAGUUGCAGUCAGACCACCCCCGUCGGGGCGGGGGUCUUGCCCUAUAAAUAGCCCGCCGGGGCGGGCAUAGCUACUGUUAACUCACGGAUUCAUGCUCUGCUACAAAAUAACAAGCCAAAAAUACAUUCUACCUUCAUAAUUUGAGUUAUACAUGUCCAAAUUAGUCCGUUUUCGAUUCUAUGGAUUCAUAAUUCAUAGAACUACAACAUACUAUAAUACCCAUCAACUAACAUAAACAUUAACUAACCCAAAUAUGAAUCUAUAACUCAUGUUCAUGCAAAUAUUCAUGUUUUGGAUAAUUUAGCGAAUUCGUUCACUACGAAUUCGUUUCUCAACCAAAUUGGUUCGUUUAACUUCCGUUGAUUUCGUAUUUGACUAUAUUAACAAUAUCUAACAACAAUUAAUGGAUUAUAACAAUCCUUAGCCAUCAAUUUUGUGACUCAAAAAUGACUUUUUCUUGUUAUUACUAAGGAUUUCAUAAUCUUGAAAUGAAGAACAUAUAUAUGUAUUACAAUCACACAAUCAUCAUGCUUUCACCAUUCUAUCACUGAUUUCAGUUUAUAGAAACAUAGAGGAGAAGAAGUUAGUACCUUUGAAGAGUUCUUCUACUUCAUAUGCUUAUUUCUUCUUCUUAUUGUAUUUACCAAAUUGCAAAAGCUCUCUUGACAUUCCCUUAUCUCUCAACCUCAUUGACUCUCUAUUCUACUAUCCUUCCAUAGCCAAAAUCUCAGACAUCUCAACAAAAGAAAAUAAGAUGAGAGAGUCUCUAUUUAUAGAGAAAGUGUUAUCCAAGCAAUAGCUUUGCCCUAGAAAUCAAACUAGUGGAAGAAAGAAGAAUUCAUUAGACAAUAAGGAGUUGUUGGAUGGUAGUUGAUUCACAUCAUUAUUCCCACUCCCCUUUUCAUCAUUUGGAAGCUAUGGAUUUUGGAGAAGAAGAAGCAAGCUAGCUUCUAGCCUUUUUGCAUUUCACGUUAAUGAAGAAUGACUCUCAAUUUGGGACACUACUCUUAAAACUCAGCAUUUCAUAUUACUAAUAGCCUACUUAGGUUUAUUUGAUAUUUUCCCCCAAAUGUGCAUACAUAUAUACUCACUCACAUAGAAUUAUAUAAUCCAUGUACAUUGGUUUAUUCCAAUAAAUAUUUUAAUUGGGCUAAUUAUAAAAUAGUUGGAUAUUCUCAACCCAUCAUUUUCCAUAAAAUUUAUCAUCUCAAAUAUACCCAAUUAUGAUAAUUAAUAUCAAUUAUAUUAACUCCUCAUUUAUUUUCCCAUUAAAUCCCCCUUUGAUUUAACUUCCCUAGUUAUGCCACACAAGACAUAAUUAUGUGAACUUAGUAAUUAAUAGUCCACAAGCUUAUAAUAAUAUAAUCUCACAAAAUAAUAUUAUUCUCAAUAUUACAUCUUAUAACAUGGUCAUGGAAGUAAUCUAUUGCACCAUGUUACAUUUUAUUAUCUCACUUGUACAUAAUGCUAACAUACAAGCCUUUAUACAUAUGUAUUCAAAUACUUCAUAUAUUAUAUAGUUACUAUUGAAGUGUCACACUUCAAUUCAUAUCAUAUAGAUGUAGCUACUAUAUAAU